AGAGUUUGAUCAUGGCUCAGGAUGAACGCUGACAGAAUGCUUAACACAUGCAAGUCUACUUGAUCCUUCGGGUGAAGGUGGCGGACGGGUGAGUAACGCGUAAAGAACUUGCCUUACAGACUGGGACAACAUUUGGAAACGAAUGCUAAUACCGGAUAUUAUGAUUGGGUCGCAUGAUCUGGUUAUGAAAGCUAUAUGCGCUGUGAGAGAGCUUUGCGUCCCAUUAGUUAGUUGGUGAGGUAACGGCUCACCAAGACGAUGAUGGGUAGCCGGCCUGAGAGGGUGAACGGCCACAAGGGGACUGAGACACGGCCCUUACUCCUACGGGAGGCAGCAGUGGGGAAUAUUGGACAAUGGACCAAAAGUCUGAUCCAAGCAAUUCUGUGUGCACGAUGAAGUUUUCGGAAUGUAAAGUGCUUUCAGUUGGGAAGAAGUCAGUGACGGUACCAACAGAAGAAGCGACGGCUAAAUACGUGCCAGCCGCUGC
rnacentral:rRNA from 1 species